AACGCACAUUGCGCCCUUUGGUAUUCCGAAGGGCAUGCCUGUUCGAGCGUCAUUAUCACAGCUCAAACCCUGGGUUUGGUGUUGGACCAAUGUUGGGUCGACCAACUGGUCUCAAAGACAAUGACGGCGUCCGUGGGACCCUCAGUGCAACGAGCUUUCACAAGCACGCAUUGAGUUGCAAGGACCCUCCGGGCCCGGUCUACUUUUACAUUUUCUGAAAGUUGACCUCGGAUCAGGUAGGAAUACCCGCUGAACUUAA
rnacentral:misc_RNA from 1 species